AUUAGCUCUCACUCUUUCUCUAAGUGACUUUGAGAUGAAGCAAUUUCUGGAGAGGUUUAGGAUAAGCAGCUUGGAUGUCAGAAAGGCCAAUCUCUGAUUUUAGAGAUGAAAGUACUGAAUCACAGAGCCAGCUGGUGGCAGAGCUAGGGAUCAGGGCCAUGGACCUCCUGACUGCUCAGGGAACUUGGAACCUGCUCUGUUUGCUGGUGUUUUACAGAGAGCAGAAACUGGAAGUUAGAGAGAAAGCUGAAAUAACUUGGCCCGAAGUCACUCAGCUAAGAAGUGGCUGUGUCCAAGCUCACAUUCCGGGCUAUGCUGCGUCUCUAGACUGCGGCUUGAAGCUGUAUUUGUAAAGAUGGGGGAUAGAUGCUUGCAUGUGCUCAUAGGAUUCCAAGAAGAUGUGCAGUGGGAGCAUUUACAAACGAGUCUGUCUGUCUUCACCACCAACAU